rnacentral:rRNA from 1 species
UUCGCAAUGCCCGAAAGGGUGACGAAGCGACGCCGCGUGUGGGAAGAAGGCCUUCGGGUUGUAAACCACUGUCGGGAGUUAAGAAAUGCAAGGAUAUUAAUAGUGUCUUUGUUUGACUAAGGCUCCGGAGGAAGCCACGGCUAACUCUGUGCCAGCAGCCGCGGUAAUACAGAGGCGGCAAGUGUUGUUCGGAAUUAUUGGGCGUAAAGAGCACGUAGGCGGCUAUGUAAGUCGGUUGUGAAAGCCUUCCGCUCAACGGAAGAACAGCAUCCGAUACUACAUGGCUUGAGUGCGGGAGGGGAGAGUGGAACUUCUGGUGGAGCGGUGAAAUGCGUAGAUACCAGAAGGAACGCCGGCGGCGAAAGCGGCUCUCUGGCCCAUAACUGACGCUGAGUGUGCGAAAGCUAGGGGAGCAAACGGGAUUAGAUACCCCGGUAGUCCUAGCCGUAAACGAUGGGCACUAAGUAGAGGGGUUUU